rnacentral:rRNA from 1 species
CGAAGGUAGCAUAAUCAGUAGUCUUUUAAUUGAAGGCUUGUAUGAAUGGUUGGACGAAAUACUAACUGUUUCAUUUAAAAUUAUUAUAGAACUUUAUUUUUUAGUCAAAAAGCUAAAAUUUAAUUAAAAGACGAGAAGACCCUAUAAAUCUUAAUAUUUGUAUUAUUUUAAUUAUAAAGAUUAAUUAAAUUAUAAUUUUUACAAAUAUUUUAUUGGGGUGAUAUUAAAAUUUAAUAAACUUUUAAUUUUUAAAACCAUUAAUUUAUGAAUAAUUGAUCCAUUAAUAAUGAUUAAAAAUUUAAGUUACUUUAGGGAUAACAGCGUAAUUUUUUUGGAGAGUUCAUAUUGAUAAAAAAGAUUGCGACCUCGAUGUUGGAUUAA